rnacentral:tRNA from 13 species
GGUUGGGGUGUAGGUUCCUAGCAGGUUCGAUUCCUGU